UACGGGGGGGGCAAGCGUUGUUCGGAAUUACUGGGCGUAAAGGGCGCGUAGGCGGCGCGACAAGUCACUUGUGAAAUCUCCGGGCUUAACCCGGAGCGGCCAAGUGAUACUGUAGUGCUAGAGUGCGGAAGGGGCUACUGGAAUUCUCGGUGUAGCGGUGAAAUGCGUAGAUAUCGAGAGGAACACCUGCGGCGAAGGCGGGUAGCUGGGCCGACACUGACGCUGAGGCGCGAAAGCUAGGGGAGCGAACGGG
rnacentral:rRNA from 1 species